GGUCAACUUAUGGGUCUAGUUUACCACUGCUUCAAACUUUAGCUCUAAAGCUUAUUGAACAACCUUGCUCAUCAUCAUGUGCUGAGAGGAAUUGGAGUACAUAUGGCUUCAUCCAUUGAGGAGGCUCGAGUACACUAUAGGAGAAUCUAAGAAGUGGGACAUUGGUGGAGAUAAUUGGGAUGAACCAUUUGGAGGACCUGGGUUGUUUGAGAUUGCUUAUCUCACACUAGAUGAGCCAGAGAUGAAGACAAGUAUUGUUGAGAAUAAUGACUAUGUUGAUGACGAUGAUGUUGUUGUUCUAUGAUAAUCUUGAAAGUUUAAAACUUGUUAUCCUUUUAUGUUUUUAGUUUGAUGUUGAACUUGUUAUCCUUUUAUGGUUUGUACUCUAAACAUUUUAUGUGUAUUAUUGUACUACUUUGGGUGUUAGUUUACUUAUUUGUAGUUCUUACAUAA